rfam:Camelus ferus unplaced genomic scaffold scaffold618, whole genome shotgun sequence.
GGCUUUUAAUGCAGUCUAGCUGUGGCAUCUGUCACCAGGCUGACUGCCAGGAUUGACUGAGUGAUCUGGCAUCUUAGUCCAGAGUUCCCUUCCUCUGAGAGUUCCAUGUGUGUUCUUCCCAAAGUGUCAACUCAAUCAAAAAGAAUGACAUUUCCAAACUGACAAAGUCUAUUCUUAGUCAGGAUAUACGGGGAGCUGAACUCCCCGGCUAGAUCUUUCCAACAAGCAUUGACAUCCCCUUGCAAGCAAAUGCAUGUUAGCCGAAUCUGUUUUAAAGAGUGCCUCUCUCCACCUGAUAUUUUGUU